rnacentral:rRNA from 1 species
UGGGGAAUAUUGCACAAUGGACGGAAGUCUGAUGCAGCAACGCCGCGUGCGGGAUGACGGCCUUCGGGUUGUAAACCGCUUUUUCUCAUGACGAAGUUUUUUGACGGUAGUGGGGGAAGAAGCACCGGCUAACUACGUGCCAGCAGCCGCGGUGAUGCGUAGGGUGCGAGCGUUGUCCGGAAUUAUUGGGCGUAAAGAGCUUGUAGGCGGUUUGUCGCGUCGAUAGUGCAAACUCAGUGCUUAACGCUGAGCCUGCUGUUGAUACGGGCAGACUAGAGGAAGGUAGGGGAGAAUGGAAUUCCCGGUGGAGCGGUGGAAUGCGCAGAUAUCGGGAGGAACACCGGUGGCGAAGGCGGUUCUCUGGGCCUUUCCUGACGCUGAGAAGCGAAAGCGUGGGGAGCGAACAGG